AGCUGUUCCGGUGAAAAGGGAAACAGGUGAAAAUCCUGUGCGAACUCGUCACUGUAAUCAGUCUUUUCUAUCAUAGAUAGAAAAACAUAAUUAAUAAGUCACUGCGAAAGCGGGAAGGCGAAUUAUGUUAUAGCUGUAAGUCAGGAGACCUGCCAGUUGAGUA
rnacentral:ncRNA from 1 species